UUCUGAUCAUCAUCUUCUAGAGUCUAGACUCCAAACUCCAAAGCCCUAGCGCCGCCAUCCGCCAAAUUGCCAGCGAUCGCCGCCUCGCCAGUCGCCGCCGAUCUGUGCAUGCACUACGGAAGGUCCCGAGGAGUUGACGGGCUGACGGGGUGAAGGCUGACGCGUUGUUGAUCGCAGCCGGUUGCCGCUCGCCGCUCGAUGGCCACAGGCCAUCGUCGGAUCGUCCCUCUCCCUCAUGAUAAUGUAUUUUGUUUUCCAAUUAAAUAACCAUUUUAGAAUCAUAUUAUCAUAAUAAUGUAUUUUGUUUUCCAAUUUAGAAUUCCGAUAACAAGUACUCAGCUCAAGGAUUGGAUCAACCGUGACAUCACUCUUUUUUAUUAGUGGAAGAAAUUGCAUCAGCCUUCUAUCCAUAAUUUGUGUAAGCUAAAUUAACUUUUUUAUAUUAAUUUCAUUUUAGAUUGGUCUCUGUUAUUACGUAGCUGUUGUGGAUUUUAAUCAACCUCAUUGAAUCCUUAAUUUUUAUAGGAUAACCAUGAAAUUCAGAAAGACUACAAUUGAUUUUUGGCUCAAGAAGAAAGAUGAUGUAGUUGAUGUACCAGAUGGUCCUGAACAAAAUUUUUCGGUGGAUCCUUCCCAAUGAUUUCAAGUCGUCCAACUAAUCGUGAUUAAUCGCGAUUAGUUGGGCUGGUCGGUAAUUGGUACACGAUUUGCUGGACGACUCGACCAGACAACCUAGUCGUUCUGGUCGUCCGACUAAUCGUCGACUAGGGCGACUAGUCGUCCGACUUAUGUGUCCUGGUCGUCCCGGCUAGGGUUUAGUUAUUGGACCUUUUUAAGCCCAUCUACAGUCACUGCACAUAUCCUCUUCUCUCAUAUUCUAACCUACCCGCCAACAGUCUCUGGCUCUCUGCAUGUCUCCUCUCCUCUCUUGCACCGCCCCUGCAGUCCUGGACUUUGAUUGACAACGGCUACACCGGCGGGCGGCGGCUACAACACCCUGCGUCCCUGCCCCUUCUCCUGGAGUCCUGCAGCCUGCUGCACUACUGCAGUCUCUAAUUUAUAUAAUGUAUACAGGUAUAUUUAUAUAUAUAUCUAUAUAAGUAUAGCUACUAAUAUAGAACGACCAGGGACUGACUAGGACCGACUAAGGGUUGACUAGUCACCCUAGUCGUCGCCUAAUCGCGACUAGUCGCCUGGUCGGUCCCAGGGUUCGACCAGGCGACUAGGCAACUUGAAAUCAUUGAUCCUUCCUGUGAAAUGGAUGAAGGUGCUGAUUGGCUUGCUGCACAAUUAGAAGAGGAACAGGAAGAACAUCAAGAAGAAGAAAUUUCAAGACAGAGACCGUCUAAAAUCCAGAGAGUUGAUCAUGAAGGUACUAGUGUUCUAGAAGUUGA
rnacentral:lncRNA from 1 species